AUUGAACGCUGGCGGCAGGCCUAACACAUGCAAGUCGAGCGAGCGGCGGACGGGUGAGUAAUGUAUGGGGACUGCCCGAUAGAGGGGGAUAACUACUGGAAACGGUAGCUAAUACCGCAUACUAUCGGAUAACCCAUAUGGUAUUAGCUAGUAGGUGAGGUAAUGGCUCACCUAGGCGACGAGCCCUAGCUGGUCGGAGAGGAGGAGCCGCCAAAGUGGGACUGAGACACGGCCCAGACGCGUACGGAGGCAGCAGUGGGGAAUAUUGGACAAUGGACGAAAGCCUGAUGCAGCCAUGCCGCGUGUAUGAAGAAGGCCUUGGGGUUUUAAAACACUGUUGUUCGGGAGGCGUUACCGACAGAAAAAGCCCCGGCUAACUCCGUGCCAGCAGCCGCGGUAAUUC
rnacentral:rRNA from 1 species